GACGAACGCUGGCGGCGUGCUUAUCACAUGCAAGUCGAACGGAAAGGCCCUGCUUUUGUGGGCUUCUCGAGUGGCGAACGGGUGCGUAACACGUGAGUAUCCUGCCCUUCACUUUGGGAUAACUUCAGGAAACUGGGGCUAAUACCGGAUAGGAUCUCCUGCUGCGUGGUGGGGGUUGGAUAGUUUCGGCUGUUGGGGAUGGACUCGCGGCUUAUGAGCUUGUUGGUGGGGUAGUGGCUGACCAAGUCUUUGACGGAUAGGCGGCCUGAGAGGGUGACCGGCGACAUUGGGACUGAGGUACGGCCCAGAGUCGUACGGGAGGCAGCAGGGGGGAAUAUGGCACAGUGAGCGGAAGCCGGAUGAAGCAACGCCGCGUGCGGGAUGACGGCCUUCGGGUUGAAAACCGCUUUCGCCUGUGACGAAGCGUGAGUGACGGUAAUGGGUAAAGAAGCACCGGCUAACUACGUG
rnacentral:rRNA from 1 species